AACGGCGCUGGGGCUGUGGCCCGGGAAGGAGCUGGUCCGGAGGCAGCUCCAGGAGCUCCUGGAAAAUGCCCAGUACCAGGAAGAGGCCGAGCGGGAGGGUUUGGCUUCCUGCUUCGGGAUCUGCGCCCGGAGCCACCCGGAAGAAACGUUGGAAAAAUUGGAGGAAUUUGAGCAAUCCGACGCCUGCAGGAAAUCCCAGGGAUUCUUCAGCAUCUUCAAGGACCAGAACCAGCUGGAUGUGGAGC